rnacentral:rRNA from 1 species
AACGAACCGUGCGAACGUUAUUCGGAAUCACUGGGCUUAAAGGGCGCGUAGGCGGGCCGAAAAGCCAGGGGUGAAAUCCUCCAGCCCAACUGGAGAAGCGCCUCUGGAACUGGCGGCCUCGAGGGGUGCAGGGGCAUGCGGAAUCCGGUGUAGGCGGUGGAUGACGUAGAGAUCCGAGAAGCACCGGUGGCGAAGCGGCCGUGCUGGGCUAUGGCUGACACUGAGGCGCGACGAGCGUGGGGAGCAAACAGG